AUGAACAAACAGCGGCAAAACAUGCUGAAAUCAGAAGCGGCAGCCGAAGCUGGAGUCGAGAGCUCACCAAAUGGGGAGUCCUGGGAGGCGAGCCGGCUGGCCGCGCCGAGGCCCCGCUCCUCGAGGGGCUGGGCCCGCGCCUGCUCGAGCAGGAAGGCGAAGUCAGCGCCCUUGCUGCGCGGCGCCACCUCGCCGGCCCAUUCCGCGGCGUCGUCGGCCUCGGGUUCUUCCUCGAAGCGGUCCCAGUUGGAGGGGAGGUUGCGGCUGCGAGGGGCGGAGGAAGAGGAGGAGCCGCCGCCGCCUCCGCCGGCGGCGGCCGCGCGCUUCUGCUUGUGCGCCGCGGCCGCCGCGGGGGUCUGGUGGGUCCGGCGGCCGUGCACCGUGUGCGAGCGCUUCGACCUCGCCGCCGCCUUGGGAUCCAUCGGGGGAGCAGCGGAGCAGAGGGGAGGGAUUGAUUUUUGCAGUUCAACCCCUAAUACUCUUCAUAAGAACAAAUGUGUGCUCGCCGAGGGUUUCUAUGUAAAUUCGCGGGGCCACAUUUAUAAUUAUACAGUUUCACGAGGGCCUUUAAGCUUCUACGAUUUCAGGACAGUUCCGCAGAGCAGAGAGAACAGAGGCAAAACCCUUCCGUGGCUGGCUUGA
rnacentral:rRNA from 1 species